UCCGUAGGGGGCAAGCGUUGUCCGGAUUUAUUGGGCGUACCGCGCACGCAGGCGGUCUCUUCCGUUUUGAGUGACAGGGAGGGGCUUAACCCCUCCAGGCCUUGAAAAACUGGGAGACUUGAGGGUGAGAGAGGGAUGCGGAAUUCCAGGUGGAGCGGUGAAAUGCGUAGAGAUCUGGAAGAACACCAAAGGCGAAGGCAGCAUCCUGGCUCAUAUCUGACGCUCAUGUGCGAAAGCUAGGGGAGCGAACGGG
rnacentral:rRNA from 1 species